ACAAUAUUUUAAUUGAGAUGGCGUGACAAAAUGCCACUCCGUUCACAUUCAAAUUUCAGUACGCGAACAUUUGUAUACCUGUAGCUUCAUGUCUAAUUUGUUUCAUAUGUUUCUGCAUAUAACAAUGCAAUAGUGAUAAUCGAAGGUUUAAAAAAACUAAACCAACCAUCAAGUCCAUUCAGCAUAUGAAUGCUAGACCAAUUAUUCCCACAUAUUCUGUUUUGGCUUUCAAGUAUUGGAGUCUCCUAAUCCAAUUAAAUACUACUCCAAGUUCAAAUUGGCCCAUAAGGUACAGUAUAAUUGACCAUAAAUAGUACAGCAAAGCUAAAUCCAUCUCUACAUACUACGAGAGCUUGAAAUGGCCCUAUCAAUUUUCCUACUUGUUAUCGUUAUCUAGCUGCUGUACAUAAACAAAAUUG
rnacentral:misc_RNA from 1 species